AGCGAACGCUGGCGGCAGGCCUAACACAUGCAAGUCGAACGAAGUCUUCGGACUUAGUGGCGGACGGGUGAGUAACACGUGGGAACGUACCUUUUGGUUCGGAACAACUCAGGGAAACUUGAGCUAAUACCGGAUGUGCCCUUAGGGGGAAAGAUUUAUCGCCGAAAGAGCGGCCCGCGUUAGAUUAGCUAGUUGGUGAGGUAAAGGCUCACCAGGGCUACGAUCUAUAGCUGGUCUGAGAGGAUGAUCAGCCACACUGGGACUGAGACACGGCCCAGACUCCUACGGGAGGCAGCAGUGGGGAAUCUUGCGCAAUGGGCGAAAGCCUGACGCAGCCAUGCCGCGUGAAUGAUGAAGGUCUUAGGAUUGUAAAAUUCUUUUACCAGGGACGAUAAUGACGGUACCUGGAGAAAAAGCCCCGGCUAACUUCGUGCCAGCCGCCGCUGUAA
rnacentral:rRNA from 1 species